rnacentral:lncRNA from 1 species
CUCGCUUCCUCGGACGCAGGAGUCGGAGCGGGCCUUUCCCUUGGGCCGACCGCGCUGUAGGGGACGCCGCGAAAAGAGCCGCUGCGCCCGCCAGCUCCUGCCCGCUGCGCAGAGGGCUCCGCCCGUAGAGGUCAACUCCCCUCACCCCUUCCUCUCUCCUGCUCGCCCUCCCUCCGCCCGGCCCAGGUUCCUCCAGCCUCCAGACUCUUGCCGCAGUCUGAGGAGAGCGCGUCGGCUGCGCUGUUCUGAGCCAUAACCCCCAGCCGGGCCCAGACCCGAGGUCCGCGCUCCCAGGCAGUGGGGAAGCCUUAGCGAGCUGCCUUUUCUCUCUGCACCAAAGCUGUAGCCAGACCAGAUGGGCCGCCCAGCUCUCUCGGGACUAGGCAGGUGCGGUUGAGUUAAUUUUUCCGCAUUACAAAGAAAGACGACCCAGCCCGCCCUUGGCCUCUCAUCUCUUCCCCAAACCUCCCAACCGAAACCACGGUGACGUUAUCAGAGGACACAGAGCCUAGGCAUAUCUGCGAGACUCACUCACACACACACACACACACACACACACGCAUGAUUACUUUCCCUUCUAUACGCUAGAUCUCAUUCCCGACAGCAAGAAGUGACUGACAAAGCUUUCUGCACCAGAACAUGCAAUGGCGCGGUCCUUAAAACCUGCCAUCCCUUACAAGUGACUUAGAAGGGAUGCAGGGCGAACCAACUCCGUUAAUUGCCUUCAGGAAAAUAACACGAUUACGAAAUUAGAUCUGUACCAGGGGGGUAAUUAACUUCGAUCCACGCCGUCAUUUGAAAACUAGAUUUAUAGGGUAUGUAUGUUUUUAGGUGUGCUGUAAAUGGCAUGCAGAUAUAUGCAUAUGUAUACGCAGACACAUGCAUCGUCUACACUUCCACCGAACAGACUAAUUAGCAGCGGCUCUGGCAGCUGUGGCAGGAGGCGAGCUGAGACAGGAGCCCGGCUUAUGAGUUACGACUCUGGGGGAGUUGUAGGGACUCAGAGCUCGGCGUAGGGGGAAGGGCAAGAGAAGUGAUGUGUUCGCAGUGGGUCAGUUACUUUCCGGAUCAAGAUCAGACUCUGCCCUCCGUGUUCACAGCGGACCUUGAUUUAAUGUCAUACAAUUAAGGCACGCGGUGAAUGCCAAGAGCGGAGCCUAUGGCUGCACUUGAAGGACACCAGAGCGUCUCAGGACGAGAAAAGGGAAAAGGCAAUCACAAGGGGGUUUGAGGGGUAGUAGAACAAACCCAUCAUUUGCCGCAUACGGACCCUCAGACUGAUUCCAGAACCAACCUAGUGUUUCCAAAGCAAACCGGUCAUAGUUUUCGGUAAAAGCCUCGGAAAUCUGCUGGCGGAUUUUACGAGAGUUCGGUGACAGGAGCUUCAGCUGUCAGGAAAGCAGGAGUUCCAGUUUGUGCAGAUAUUCUAGAGUUGAACUGUUUAGAAAGCAGUGGAUCUUUAAGGAGCAAGUAGUGUGAUUGUUGGCGAUUCUGGGCCAAGCUGCCGAAACAAACAGAACAGAGAGGAUGAUAAUGUUAAAUGGUGCCCUCAUCACAUUGCGCAAGAAACCUCGAAUGGCUCAACUCCUUCGGGAAGCCCUCUACAACCACCACCACUGCCCUCUACCCGCCCCACCCCUUCUCCCUUUCUCUUCCUAGUAUCCAGUCGGCCUUGCCUGACUUUGAAAAGCCAAGAUAAUUUCCUUGUAUCGAGAUACUCUCAAUGGUCAAAUCAGUCAAAGGAGUAGGACAAGGGGAAAAGGCCAAGCCUGAAACUUUAGAAGGACUCUGCAAAUUAAUUUAUUUGGAAGCCAAUGAAGUGGACUUUGUUAAGGUAGUAGUUCCGCACCACGGCCUUGGAGCGAAAAACAAACCCAGAUUAAGAAAGCGAGCCUUGAUAGAUGUCUUUGUUCUGCCUUGGCCUGCAGGGGCUGGGAACAAAGGAGAGGAACUGAGAGAGGAUUCACCAAAGUGGCCGCGCCCUUAGCGCCUGGCGCUGUCCGCGGUGCUGACCUCGGCCCUCUUCUCUCUCCGUAAUUUAACCAAAAAGCAAUAGGACCCUCCCGCCCCCAUCCCGAAGAAUAACAGAAUAUUAGGUAAUUUGAGAAAGAAAAAAAAAUAAAGGCAGAGAAAUGCCGCACACGGCAAAACCUAAUAUUUUACCAAAAUAGUCCACUCUAGCUGUUGCCACACUUGACUUGCCCUUUACAGUCUUGGCGUAGUUACGUAGUUAGUGUAUGUACAUUGGGAAACAAUUCCACUUUAUUUAGACUGAAACCUGAAUCUAGCAAUGGGCGGGACUUGCAAGGAGAAUGAGGAGAAUGAAGGCUCUAUUUUUUCUUUCUUUCUUUCUUUCUUUCUUUCUUUCUUUCUUUCUUCUUUCUUUCUUUCUUUCUUUCAAGUCAUCUUCCUUAAAACAUACAAACUUAUGGUCUUCAGCUGCAUACCUAAAUAGUGCUAGUGUGGUCAGUAAAGGGACUCACAACGGACUCAAGUGUGGGCCUUGAGACUUACCAGAAAAGGACAGAAUGGGGACUCACUAGAUGAGACCAAGCAGGAGUCCACCCAGUCCCAUCCCCUCAGGCAGAAAGGGCAGCCUUCCUAGGUAGGUCCAGAGCCCCAAGCUCUGCAGACCUCUCUGAUGCGCGGAGCAAGCUCCGCGCUUCCUGGCCGGCGGGAGGCACUGCAGGCCAGAAAACGUGAAACCCGCACUGCGGAAAAACCAACUACAGCAUCCUUUUCCUCCUCAAAGCUGUCAGUUGCGAUUGGAAAAGGGCAGGGUGGCUUACCAAAUAGCAGGCAAUGAAGAUUUCCUUUAGGAGUCGAGGGGCGUAUGGGUCAGUAUUCAUACAUUCGAUAAAUCUUUUAUAUUGAGAACAUUAAAUAUAAAUAAUAAGAAUUUAAAUAUCUUAACUAAAUAAUCAAAGAGAGAUAGAGAAACAGGAAAUCAGCCAAUGUGUAACCAGCCUGAGGUCGCAAAAGAAAUUGCUACAUGCUUGUUUGUGUUUAUAAAUCCACAAACAUAAAAGAUGUUAAAACUAGAAAUAGAUAAUAGUAACAAUAGAUUAUAGACUUAUAGAUCUAUAAAAAUAGAAAUAGAUAACAAUCCAGACUGGGCAACAGAGGUGGCAACACCAAUUUUGAUCCAGGUAUAGAAAUGGGCCACAAAUGGGUCAUACAUUUCAUCGGAUUCAUUCUUUUACACCUGAAUGAUGGAGAUAUAUCAAAUGAUUCCAAAAAGAAAGUGGUAAAGCACCUAUUCUCAGGAGAUAGUCAUACUGCCUUCUCUCAGGGUGGAUUUUAUUUGUCCUCUGAUUUUAGAAUUCUGUGAAUUAGGCCUUUCAUGUCCAUUGAUGACUUAAAUUUCUAUUUCAUUUUAUAUAAUUUGAGAGGGAAUAGGUAAAACACACUAAAAAAGGGGGGGAUUACUUGAAUAAUAAAAGGAAAGUGUUUGGAAACAUUCCUCUUAUGCCCGUUAAGAGUAGUCAUUGGAAAUUGAAAUGAAUUUAAAGCAUCAGAUGUUAUCAUGGAAGCUUGAUUUCAUUCCAGGAUUCAUGCAAUUGUGCCGAUCUGCACCCACAUUCCCUCGGAUAUUUCAUGAAGCAACAAGGGUCCAAGGUUGCAAAAUAUUUCUGCCUGAAUUGUGUUAUAAUUCAUAUUACAUAAUAGAAACCCACCUAAUUCCCCUCACUCUAAUCCUUCCUGUUUAGGAAAUCUAAAUUCAUCCUCCAGAAAACUAAGUUUUUAAAUUACUUUCUAAACAGAGAUGAGAAACACGGUGUGAAAGAGAGAAGGUAAAAUACUGUUUAAAUAAGGGAACAUUUAGUGUUCUGGUUACAGCGAUUAAACCCAGAAUGGUUACUGAUCCGAAAUAUUUCUAGAUUUUUAAGACUAUUUUAUUUUCUACUUCUUUUAAAAGUAAUCAUCUGGUUUAAUGUCCAUCGCCAAUUUGACUGCUAUGAAAUUCAGUGCUCAGCAUUUUUUGCAAUAAAACAAUUUAAGCUUCGCAAUUGGAGAAUUUCGGCCUGGAGUGCCACGGGGGUCCUUUGACAAUCACAACUUUCAUUUAGUGGUCUGAAAUUAAAGCUUUUUAGAAUAAGUUGGGAGCAGCUUGACCCUUUGAAAUACUCAAUGACAACCCUCCAGGGAAAUAGCAUGUUUUCUUCCUGGGAAGGAGAUGCUAGCGCAGUGCACCAGGGAGUAAUACGCUGUCAACAAUGCCAGAGCGCCCUCUGCUGCCAGAAAGAGGCAAGACACUAGCUAAAAUAUCCAGAUGGCACUGAGUUGCUGGGUAAGCAGUGAAAACAUUAAGCUCUUAGAAACAUUUAAUCUGUGAAAUUUAAAAUCUCUGAUCAUAUUGUAUUUUUGAAGGGGCCACCUGAUUUUGAUUUUGAGAACUCCUUGAAUAAUUUUCUUAUAUUUCUUCAAGGUAGUGAAAGGUCAAAUGUUAUGAAGUUUCAGUCUGUCAAAUUAUUUCUGUAGUUACAUUUCUGUACUUUCUCUAAUUUUAUAUGAAAAUAUGAAAUUGCAGUUCGGAGUUAAAAAAUCUUUGUGCUGAAUAUAUGAGCAAAUAAUUCUUUUCCUAGUUUCUCUAUAUAACUAAGAUCUAAUAAAAAAAUUAGCUAAAGAUAUCAAUCAUAGAUUGUUACAUUUUUAAAAACUAAGGACAGAGGUAAAGAAUCAUUUUCUUAUUUUGAUAAUUAACCCAGAUUUUUCUCGAGCUUUAAGUCUAGGAAAAGAAAGUGAGUUAUGUUUGAGGAAGAAGUUGAAAAUUUUGCUUCACCCUAAUAUAUAUAUUCUUUUUACCCUUGAAAUUUUUGAAAUGAACUUAUAUCCAUGCUUAGCUUAGAAAGAUUUCAUUAGAAAAGAAUGCACUCUGACUAUAAACAAUCUGAUGUGGCUGCAGCACAGGCAAACUCAUAAAGAAGCAAUACCUGAAUUAAAAUUGAGUUUUUCAGUAUGGAGCAAUCUCUUUUCAAAUGAAAUUGGAGAGCAUUUUCUAAAAGGUUAAAAAUUCUUUUUGAUUUUUAUGUAUUACAGGGUUUGUAUUGAGUUUUAAAAUGUACAGCUGUAUUAAUUAAAUGUUGUGAAUCUCAAAAUUACAGCCUAUUUCUAAACACACACACACCUUUGCCAUGAAGACUAUGUUGAAUAUAUCAGUGCUAAUGUAAUAAAAUGCUUCUAUUAAUUAUGUGGUUGUUAAAUAAAUCUUGGAAAAUAAA